GCACCUGUAGCUCAGUGGAUAGAGCAUCGGAAUCCGGAUCCGUGUGCGGGGGUUCGACUCCUCUCAGGUGCA
rnacentral:tRNA from 1 species